UCCUUUUUACCACAAAUAAUUUAUAAGAAAAAAGUAAAAGAAAAAAAAGAUCAAGAAGUGGAAAAGAGCGGAAGAAAGAAACAAGAAGAAGAAGAAGAAAAUGAAAAGAAAAAAAGUAGGAGGAAGAUAGUGUAGAUAUUAUAAAAAAACAUUGAAGAUAAGGAGGUAAAAUUGUUGGUCAAAUAUAAAUAGCUUUUAAGCUUAAAAAAAAGAAGGGAGG
rnacentral:lncRNA from 1 species